CAGGGUCGGGGCGUGGCCAGGCUAGCGGCUGGGGUCCCCGCGGCCGCCAGGGCCUGGUGGACCACUGCAGGAUUGUUCCGCCCUGCGGAUCACAGCAGGAUGAUGCCCUGAGAAGGAGCAAGCCUCGACUCACUGCGGCCAGGCAGCGUCCCCCGCACGUCCUCCGCGUGUGCCCCGGGCCGCUGGGCGCGCGGCGUCACCUGGCUGUAGAGCGGCGCCUCCUCCGCGCUGCGCGCCCCCGUCCCCGUCUCCGUCCCACGCCCGGCGCCCACUGGAGCCCCGCGCUUCUGCACCACCGCGAUCUCGCUCUCUCGCCCAGGCUGGACUGCCGUGGUGCGAUCUCGGCUUACUGCAACCUCCACCUCCCGGGCUCAAGCGACUCUCCUGCCUCAGCCUCCGGAGUAGCUGGGACUACAGGUUCCCGCCAGCACGCCUGGCUAAUUUUUGUAUUUUUAGUAGAGACAGGGUUUCACCAUGUUAACCAGGCUGGUCUCUAGCUGGCCUCAAGUGAUCCGCCCUCCUUAGCCUCCCGAAGUGCUGGGAUUACAGGGGUGAGCCACCUGAAUUAAGGUUUGAUUAGAGGAUCCAGGAAAGGCCUAACUCAGAAGGUACGGCAAGCCUUAGAGGCAGAAGCAAGGGGAACACUGGGAUAAUUGAAUCAUCUUGGGGUGGGUUCCCAGAGCUCAAUUCGAAGAAAGGGCCAGUGAACACUUGGCGAAGUGAACAAGGAACAGACUGGUGUUCCAAGGAUGAAGAAGGGGUUAGCCUGAGAAAUUGGGCAGGGAAGAAUGCGGGGAUGGAGCCGGGUACCUGAGGACCCCUCCUGGUGGGCGGGGUAUGGCGAGAAGUGCCUGGGGAGUCCGGAGGAAGAGGGCAUCGUCGUAGAGUGGGGCACAAUUCUGAAGAAAAACAGGAGGGGAGGCUCCUGAGGGAGGAAGCUGGCCAGGCCUCUCACGGGGCUCUGGGAGAAAGCUCAAGACGGGAGAGCCCGAUAAGGAUGCCUGGAGGAGGGCACAGGUGGAUGUCAUAGUCAGUGCCUGCUCCCAGUAGUCCCGGGGGCUGGACCGUGCUCGGGGUCCUGGUCUCUGAGGGUGCUGAUGGUGGACAGGAGAGUGGGAAAGGGGCCUCUGUACCUCUUUGAUGUUCUGGUAGUGGGGGCUGGCAUUCUGGAGCAUGGAGCAGAACAUCUGAGCCACCGUGUGGUACAGGAACCUGUACUGCUUCUGUUGGGAUGACGGACCAUCAAGAAGGGAAGGCAGGGACAAAUGACAGCAGUGGGCCACUGUCCCUGAAGAUUAGGAGACCCAGGGUUCACCUCUGUCUGCACGGCCGCAGGCCGCUGCUUCCUCAUCUCAAGGACCACAUCAAAGAGACUGAAGUCAGGUGGGAUCACCUGGGGCAGACAGACAAGGCACUUGAGCAGGACACGUGGUCAUGGGCAGCACACUGCACACACAGGAUGCCUGCAUCCUACCUGGGUCAGGAGCAGCUGCCUCACAUAAUCCACGGUGCACAGGACGCCUGUUCGCCCACAGCCCGCACUGACAAGAGAAUCAGAGUGUGCCUGGUCAGAUCCUGACCACAACCUCUUUUAGGUGAGGCAUUUGGGGAUGGGGGUGAGGGUCCUAAUGGAUCCCCUGCAGAGCCUCUUGAUUCCCAGAAUCUUCAGAUUAUAUCUGAACAAGGAAAACCUUUUUAAUCACUUACAUUUUGUUGAGCAGCAGCUGUGUGCUUAUUCCCCAGUUGAGUCUGUGCUGAACAAGUGCUCACAAUUAUAGUCCAUGGAGGUGAGUAAGGUUUCUCAAAAUAGGCACUCAGACUACAAGACUAGCCCCUUGCCCUGUACUCCCCUCCAUGCUCUGUCCCCUCUGCCUCACCAGACCCUCCUGAAGCCCAUUUCCCAAACCUGCAGUGGACACAGAGGGGUUCAGGGCCAGAUCCCUGGAGGCGACGGGCUUCCUCCACCAUGGCAAGCAUGUGGUCAGGACUGCUGGGGACCCCACGGUCUGGCCAGGACAUAUACUGUAGCUGGUACACAGAACGGGACUCCUGAAACACAGAAAAAAAUGAGCAAAAGACUUAGAAAAGAAAAGAAAAAAGCAUUAAUUGGGCAUCUACUAUACACCAGGCCCACUUUUAGGCAUCUUCCGUUUAUGUCUACCAGAUAAUAACUGAGGAGGCGGGUACUAGUAUGAUGCCCAUUUUUACAGGGGAGGAAACCUCUCCCCUUUCAGGAGCCCCUUUACCUCCUCCUCCCCUGUCACAGUACCUUCUGGAAUGUGACCUUGAGGGUCCUGAGCAUGAUGUCCUCAUUCAGCCACUUCUCCUUUAUCUGAAUGAGGGGGGGGUGGGGCAAGUAAGAAGAGGGAGGAGAACAAAGAUCAUAGGUACCAAAAGACAUUUAUAGAAAGCAAAGCAUUCCUGAUUUAAAAAUCAAAUACAGAAAACAUUUUAAAAAUUCAUAUAGCCCAAACUUUCCCCAAAGCUUUCAUUAAGGAAACAUUUGACACAGGAGAAAAAGAGGAACUAUUAUAAAAACACAAGCCUUUUUGCAGUGAAAAGAGAGGUCUUUUGUUUUAAAAUGAAACCUUUAUUGUAUUAAGUACUAACUGUAUGUAUGACUUGAGAGAGUUCCCCAAGCUCUUUUGAAAUGGUAAGAGAAGUAAGAAUUUCAACAACCUAACCAGGCACAUUUACAUGACAGAGAUAACUGUGAUUGUAGCCAAAAUAAAAAUGCAAAGGCUAUCCCUAUAUUAAGCUCUAACUAUUUGCAGGCUAACACCAGAGGGUUUCCUGCAGUAUGAGUGGACUGUGGGUUAAAUCAUUCAACAUUUUAGGCCCAACCCAAAGCCUUUCCACCCUGGGAAUCUUCCCUGAAACCUCCCACAGCUCACCAGAGUGAUGCAGAAAAGCCCGGUCUGCAGUGGCUCCUGCUCCUGGGCCCAGUACCGCUCACACCUUUUCUGCAAAAAGUAAGGGAGAAAAGGCAGGGAGUGAGAAGAGGGAGUCAGCUUCAGAGCUAGCUCAGUCUUGCCACAAGACACCCCAAGUGCUCGUGGUGGAAGCACAGGCAGCUAUACUUAUAACCUAUAACAGAGGCCAGCCAACAGAGCCAUCAGAUUAAACACAUGCAGACUCAAUGGAGGUGCGCUGCUGACCAUGCAGGGGAAAUACAGUCCAGGAUACCCUCCCGCUGUAAGCAACUAGAAACGACAAAAUACAUGAGCCACUAUUUUCAGACACUGGUUGGCAGGCGUUGCAGUACUGUGGUCACUGAACAGACCACUCUGGCUUAUUGCAUGGAAGUGUCACCAGGCUGUAAGACAUGAGUCUAAUGAUCCCACUGAGUUGAGCCAGAGACCAUGGCUCAAGGAGGCAAAGGCAGCUAGAAUUUGCAGGGCAGAGUCCUGGAAGGAACAGAGGUAUGCAAAUAAAAACAAAACAAUAACUUGCAUAGAAGUCCCCUCCUUGAUUCUUUGGUUGAAUAAUCUGAAUAUAUAUAACAUGAAACCCCAUGAGGCCAGGCAAGAAUAACUUACCAUGAAAGAAUAGUAGGGAUCUGUAGGAUGAACAUUUCCUUGAGCUCAUGAUGAGAAAGAAUUCACAUUCCCUCUAGCUAGAGUGUAGAGGCAUUAUCAACUAUAAGGGGCAUUUAGUAGGGAACCUAGAAUGACCACACAUUAGAAGUACGGCUAAAUUAAUUCUAGAACAAAGGCUACUUGAUCAACCAUCCAAAAGUUCCUGAAAAGGCAAAACACUCAAAACAAUCCAACAUUUACCUGUGCAAAAUUCAAAAUAUCAAGCAUCCAGUAAAAUUUUGCUGGACAUACAAAGAAGCAGGAAAGUGUGACCCAUAACCAGGAGAAAAAUCAGUCAAUAGGGAAGGGCCCAGAAAUAACAGUUCAGGAAAGAAGCAAAAAUCUUAAAAUAGCUAUUACAGAUAUACUCAAAGAUGAAAAGGAAAACAUGAACAUGAUGCAGAGUGGAAUGAAAGAUACAAAAAAUAACCUGAAUGGAAUUUAUAAAGAAGAAAAAUAAAA